UACGAAGGGGGCUAGCGUUGUUCGGAAUCACUGGGCGUAAAGGGCGCGUAGGCGGCGCGACAAGUCAGGCGUGAAAGCCCCGGGCUCAACCCGGGAAUUGCGCUUGAUACUGUCGUGCUUGAGGCCGGGAGAGGAUGGCGGAAUUCCCAGUGUAGAGGUGAAAUUCGUAGAUAUUGGGAAGAACACCGGUGGCGAAGGCGGCCAUCUGGACCGGUUCUGACGCUGAGGCGCGAAAGCGUGGGGAGCGAACAGG
rnacentral:rRNA from 1 species